AUGGAGGGAUGUUGCCGUAGGUGGAGGCCUAGUUACGGGGCUUUCCUUCAAGCAUUAGAAUUUUAUCAGGAACAUCCCUCCAUCUAUGUGCAACCUCAAGUACCUGAUCCACCUCGACGUUUCAUACAGCAGGCUCACUGGGAGAUUCCCUGGCAUUACGUUCUACGCCUACUCCUAGCUACGCAAGUCAGUGGUUCGAUCCUUGUUUGGAUCUGGCAGCACCAAAAGCUCGAGAUCUUAUACUUUUAUGAUAGUGGACUCAACAGGAAGUUGUCGUGCAGCAUCAUUGUGGUGAAUUUGAUUAAAAUAGACUUACUAACCAUUAUCAUCCUAUACAACAACGAGUUCCUAGGCCCCAUCCUCGGAAGCAUUGGCCUCAUUCCCAAACUCCAAUACAUCCAGUUGUUUGACAAUAUGAUCUCGAGUGAGGUACCACAACAACUUGGGAAGCACUCGUCGCUCAGAAAUUUUGAGGACCGCAACAACUUUUCUAGCUCACUACCGGAGCAGAAUAACCAACUCUCGGGAGAGCUACCUGUCAACAGAAGCAAUCUCCACAUGCUUUCUGAAUUGUCACUAAGUGCGAACAAGAUAUCUGGAUCCAUACCAACAUCAAUUGAAUUGUUGCAGAAUCUCAAAUCACUUGACCUCAGCAACAAUCGUAUAUCAGGUGCAAUACCGGCAUAG
rnacentral:rRNA from 1 species